UGGGGAAUAUUGCACAAUGGGCGGAAGCCUGAUGCAGCGACGCCGCGUGGGGGAUGAAGGCCUUCGGGUUGUAAACUCCUUUCGACAGGGACGAAGCUUUUGUGACGGUACCUGUAUAAGAAGCACCGGCUAACUACGUGCCAGCAGCCGCGGUAAUACGUAGGGUGCGAGCGUUGUCCGGAAUUACUGGGCGUAAAGAGCUCGGAGGUGGUUUGUCGCGUCGUCUGUGAAAUUCCGGGGCUUAACUCCGGGCGUGCAAGCGAUACGGGCUGACAUGAGUGCUGUAGGGGAGACUGGAAUUCCUGAUAUAGCGGUAAAAUGCGCAGAUAUCAGGAGGAACACCGAUGGCGAAGGAAGGUCGCUGGGCAGUAACUGACGCUGAGGAGCGAAAGCAUGGGUAGCGAACAGG
rnacentral:rRNA from 1 species